rnacentral:rRNA from 1 species
UACGUAGGGUGCAAGCGUUGUCCGGAAUUAUUGGGCGUAAAGAGCUCGUAGGCGGUCUGUCGCGUCUGCUGUGAAAACCUGGGGCUUAACCCGGCCUGCAGUGGUCACGGGCAGACUAGAGUGCGGUAGGGGAGACUGGAAUUCCUGGUGUAGCCGGUGAAAUGCGCGAUAUCAGGAAGAACACCCGUGGCGAAGGCGGCUCUCUGGGACGGUACUGACGCUGAGACGCGAAAGCGUGGGG